CCUACGGGAGGCAGCAGUGAGGAAUAUUGGUCAAUGGGCGCGAGCCUGAACCAGCCAAGUCGCGUGAGGGAUGACUGCCCUACGGGUUGUAAACUUCUUUUAUCAAGGAAUAAAGUCAGGCACGUGUGCCUUUUUGUAUGUACUUUAUGAAAAAGGAUCGGCUAACUCCGUGCCAGCAGCCGCGGUAAUACGGAGGAUCCGAGCGUUAUCCGGAUUUAUUGGGGUUAAAGGGAGCGUAGGUGGGUUGUUAAGUCAGUUGUGAAAGUUUGGGGCUCAACCGUCAAAUCGCAAUGGAUACUGGCAGUCUUGAGUACAGGUGAAGUAUGCGGAAUGCGGGGUGUAGCGGUGAAAUGCAUAGAUAUCACGAAGAACUCCGAUUGCGAAGGCAGCAUACUAAAUUGCCACUGACAUUGAUGCACGAAAGUGUGGGUAUCGAACAGGAUUAGAUACCCGAGUAGUC
rnacentral:rRNA from 1 species